CCGCCGGGAAGGGGCGCUAUAAAAGCCCGGGUGCUAUUUACGCCGUACAGGGCGGGCGGUGGUGGUGGGUAGCGUGUCGGGAGUCGCGUCGCUGAUCCUCUGAGGGGGCCCGGAGCCCCAACCCUCUUCCUCCGCUGUUAUUGGGCCGCUGGAGGAUGGAGGAGUUCGGCCGCCCCGAGGGUGGCUCUGUGACAGCUGCUGCUGGGCCAGGCAGGGGUGCCGUGGCCUCCGUAGGAAGCUUGGGCGGGUAGGGGCGCUCUGCUCCCCUUGGGGUCUCACCGUGCGACGUGAAGCGAGCGAUGGAUCCGUGCCCCCUUUGUGUUCGGGGGGAGGCUGCUCUCAGUCCUGCUCUGUCCGUCCGGGCUUCUUCAGCUGGGCGAGGUCCCGCUGAGGGGACCCAUGCCCCAGCUGGCAGGCGGGUGGGGGCGGCUGGUGGCAGCCAUCAGCCCCCGACACCUCCGAGCUCCCCGCGUUGGUGGCAGGGCGGUCUCCUGCUGGCGUUUGGGGAGAGCGUCCUGCAUCCAGGCUCCCCCAAGGGCACGUGGGUGCUGUGAUCCUCUUACUUUGUGCCUAAUUCUCAUUCCUUCUUCCUCUGGCUGAGUUUCCCCUGUCAGCUAACUUUGACUGGCCUUUCUGUGGACCGCUGCCUGGUGUCUGUCGGUGAAGGAACUGCUCGAACCUCCUCCAAUAGAAACAUUUGAAAGAGCUCUAAUGAGCUAUACCGUGAGAAAGUGCACCCUGCAAAAGCCACAUCCCUGAAGGACCAGAGCAGGGUGCCUGGCAUGUGCUGGGACAUCAGGAAGGGAAAGGGCAUGCUGACCAUGCCCUGCUGCUGGCUGUGUGGCUCGCACAAAUUAAACGGUACAACUCAUCGGCAGCCUUCCUGCGCCAGCCAGCAGCAGUGGUACAAAGCAUGGCUUAAUUAUAACCCUGAAAGAAAAAGGAUUUCUUUAUGAGAUGUUGCUCCAUGGCUGCUGGUGGCAGAGCUCCACACGAGCCGAGUCGUGCUGGUUUGGCAGGUAGGUGUGGUGGUGAUGUGCGCGCGUGGCUGGGCAGUGGGGCUCUGAGUCAGAAGCUCCUGGUGACGUUGCUAAAUUCAGUUUACCACAGAGGUCUUUUUCUACUUUACACUGGAGCUGCUUUGAUGCAGCCUUUCUACAUUCAGAAAUAUGGCUCAGACCCAGUGCUUGUGAGUCACAGGUAUUCAUUUGUUAGGCCUUGGCAAAAGGCAAGUAAGAAAAAGUGCUGUCCAUGUUACGUGUCUGUGGUCUGGUUUCCACCAUGCCCAUCUUCUGGUAGCAGUUAGGUGACAACAAUUAAACAUCAAGGCAACCUGUCUUCCUAUCCAUGAUAUAGUGCUUUAUUUCUCCCCCUGUGGGGAUAGUCUGGAUGUCAGGUGACUUCUAGCUACGUAACCUGGGCCCCAGAAGGCAAAGGCAGGGACUGAGAGAAUGAAGAACUGCCCACCGUAGGAGAAGACCAGGUCUGAGACCAUCUAAGGAACCUGAAAGUGCACAGGUCCAUGGGACCCGAUGAGACGCAUCUGCAAGUCCUGAGGGAACUGGCGGAUGUAGUUGCUAAGCCUCUCUCCGUCACAUUUAAGAAGCUGUGGCAGUCCGGUGAAGUUCCCAGUGACUGGAAGAAGGGAAACAAUCCCCAUUUUAAAAAGGGAGAAAAGGAAGACCCAGGGAACUACAGGCCAGUCAGUCUCACCUCUGUGCCCGGCAAGAUCAUGGAGCAGAUCCUCCUGGAAACUCUGCUAAGGUCCAUGGAAAACAAGGAGGCGACUGGUUACAGCCAACAGGGCUUCACUAAGGGCAGAUCGUGCCUGAAAAAUCUGGUGGCCUUCUACCAUGGGGUUACGGCAUUCACAGAUAAGGGAAGAGCAGCUGAUGUGGCCGACCUGGUCUCGUAUGAAGCAUUUGACACUGUCCCCCAUGAUAUCCUUGUCUCUGAACUGGAGAGACGUGGAUUGGAUGGAUGGAUCAGUCAGUGGGUAAGGAGUUGGCUGGAUGGUUGCACUCAGAGUUGCGGUCAACGGCUCAAUGUCCAGGUGGAGAUCAGUAACAAGUGGUGUUCCUCAGGGGUCAGUACUGGGACCGGCACUGGUUAACAUCUUUGUCAGUGGCAUGGGCAGUGGGAUCAAGUGCAGCCUCAGCGAGUUUGCCAAUGACACCAAGCUGUGAGGUGUGGUCAGCACACUGGAGGGAAGGGAUGCCUUCCAGAGGGAUCUGGAUAGGCUCAAGAGGUGGGCCUGGGCGAAACUCAUGAGGUUCAGCAAGGCCAAGUGCAAGUUCCUGCACCUGGGCUGGGGCAGUGCCGAGCACAAACACAGGCUGGGAGACAAGAUAGAGAGCAGCAUGGAGAGAAGGACCUGGGGGUGCUGGUUGAUGAGAAGCUCAACAUGAGCCAGCAAGGUACGCUUGCAGCCCAGAAAGCCAGCCUUAUCCUGGGCUGCACCAAAAUCACCAUGGCCAGCAGGGCGAGGAAGGGGAUUGUCCCCCUCUGCUCUUGUGAGACCCCACCUGGAGCCCUGCACUCAGCUCUGGGGCCCCCAGCAUAAGAAGGACAGGGAUGUAUUAGAGCGAGUCCAGAGGAGAGCCACAAGGAUUAUCAGAGGGCUGGAGCACCUCUCCUAUGAAUAAAGGCUGAGAGAGCUGGGGCUGUUCAGCCUGGAGAAUGGAAAGCCCUGGCGAGACCUGACAGUGGCCUUCCAGUGCCUAAAGGGGGCUACAGGAAAGCUGGGGAGGCACUCUUUGUCAGGGAGUGUAGUGACAGGAUAAGGGGUAAUGGCUUCCAACUAAAAGAGGGGAGAUUUAGAUGAGACAUUAGAAAUACCUUCUUUACUGUGAAGGUGGUGAGGCACUGGCAUGGGCUGCCCAGAGGAGCUGUGGCUGCCCCAUCCCUGGCAGUGCCCAAAGCCAGGCUGGAUGGGGCUGGGGGCAGCCUGGGCUGGUGGGAGGGGUCCCUCCCUGCCCAUGGUCCCUUCCAACCCAAGCCAUUCUACGACUUCAUCUGAAAUCCUAGUGAGACCCUGAACAGAAAAUCUGGGAGCACGCGCUGUCUUUGUUGUGGUUCUGAUUCUGGUUUGUUGCUUUGCACCCUAUGAAGACAGAUUAUUACUUGGCUAAGGCUAAGUGAGGAAGUAAUACCAAAUGCCAUAUGAACCAAUCUCUUUUCUCAGCUCCUCUCAGUGUUCCAAGUCCUGUUCAACUUUCCCCAGGGUACUGGUUCCAGAAAUCAGCAGUCUUGCCUUCACCUUUGUAGGUGCACCAGCACCAGGUUCUGAGGUGGUUUGAGUUAAUGAUAAAUCUUGUAUGCCUUGUACAGCAGUGACUGAUUCACAUCAGCUCACUUGAUCACUUAUUCCAGGGAAAUACCACUUCAAUUUGCCAGCACUCUGUCCCUGACACAAUAAAAUGCUUGUGAAUUCAAAGCUUUUGGAACUCAGAAUGGAAUUUUCCUCUAAAAUUGUGCACAUUGAAAUAUGGGAAUCAUACAGAGAGAAUUGCUAGACUAUUCGAUAUGAGAAGAGUUUAAAAUUAGUCACUCAGACCAAACAGAAAACUUUACUUCGGGCAACUCAGUUCAGACUAAUGUGUAGUUGCAUAAAAAGUUCCCAGAGAAAAAUCAAGGCAUAAAUUUGGCAUUUUAUCACUCAAUUCCAUGCUGAGUUUCCUAGAAGAAUAUUUUAGUUUCAGUAACUAAGAAGAGGACUGUAUCUAUCUAGAAAAAUACCUUUUUCAGUUAAAGACUUAAUGCAAUCCUUUUAUGUUCUGUUUUUUAAAAAAAUAUAUUUUUAUGGACAAGAAGCAGAAGAUGCAAGAGCAAAUACUGCAAAGACAUAAGACUUCCUCUCUUGUAUAGGGGGAGAAAAGGUUUUGUAGCUAAAUGGGAAAAAGCCUUGCUUCUAGCUUUCUGAGUUUUGGAACAAGUCUCUGUGGGAUGCGUGUCACUGGGCCUCCCCAGCCUCUGCACAGUGUUGCAUUUCUUCACAAAAAUAGGUCUGGUACUGAAGUAAAUGGAUAAAAAUGUGGGAGAAGUACUUGGGGCGGGGGGGUGCAAACUGGAUGCCACCCUUCUGGUGAAUGGCUCUUGGUUAACUGCUGCCACCAGGCACCUCUAUCAUUUCAGCAUGUAGCAAGCCUGUGUUCCAGGGUUGAAGACCCUGUGCAGUAAUACUCAGCAGUGUCCUCAAGGCUCACAUCGGUCAUUUGUAAGUACAGUGUCUCUAGAGUUGUCCCCAGAGGUGGACAGCCAUCCUUUCACAGCCACUGAGUAAUCUGCCAUCUCCCCUCCGACCUCCUGGAUGUGAGCACCUCUCUGCAGCCCCUGCCCAGGAGCAGCUCUGACCUGAGCAAGGCAGAGACCACCCAAAUUUAACUCUGAGAUUUUUCAGGAAAGCUUGAGAGAGUCCCUGGGGAUUUUCAGUUUUCUGUUCUAUGCCACAAAUUCAGUGUUAGACCGACCCCUGAGGGGCAGCAAGGACCAGUGAAAUCUCAGAAUGGCCUCAUAAAACUUCCAAAGUCUUGAGAAACUGUUUUACCUGUGAAUGCCGAGGCAAAGCACUGUGCAACUUUGAGCCAAAAUAAAACUAUUUGGAAAUUC